rnacentral:lncRNA from 1 species
CUAUGGAACAACGACAAGCUUGCACCUCAUCCUUCAAAGAAGAGUAAGUUUGCAAGGUAAAGACUUGGGAGUAUGGUUCGCUCAAAUCGAAGAUGAUGUUUGUCAAAGGUGCAACUUUUGGGAUUCUCAAACCGAAGAUGAUGUUUGGUGCGGUGCAGACAGAAAUGUGGGAAAAUAUCAUAUUUAUGUGAUGAAGAUGAUGUACUAAUGAAUAUCCAUUAGAGUAAACGAUACAUAUUAUGGAUCCUGUAAUCGUAUGUUUGAAAGCCAGCCUGUUAUAUGUUUGGGAUUGAACAUUGCUGGGUGUUAAUUAUGUUUGCCGUCGUCUUUUAGACCAGUACAUUUUUGCCCUCGAUAGCAAAUGGUUUAGGCCCUGCCUGGGAGCUCAGAUUCAUUUCCGAGCUGUAACAUUUUACAGC